GAUAAGAACGUAGCGAAAUGCGAUAAGUAAUGUGAAUUGCAGAAUUCAGUGAAUCAUCGAGUCUUUGAACGCACAUUGCGCCCCCUGGUAUUCCGGGGGGCAUGCCUGUCCGAGCGUCAUUGCUGCCCUCAAGCACGGCUUGUGUGUUGGGCCUCCGUCCUCCUCCCGGGGGACGGGCCCGAAAGGCAGCGGCGGCACCGCGUCCGGUCCUCGAGCGUAUGGGGCUUCGUCACCCGCUCUUGUAGGCCCGGCCGGCGCUUGCCGACACAUCAAUCUUUUUUCCAGGUUGACCUCGGAUCAGGUAGGGAUACCCGCUGAACUUAAGCAUAUCAAUAAGCGGAGGA
rnacentral:misc_RNA from 1 species